rnacentral:rRNA from 1 species
AACGAACGCUGGCGGCAGGCUUAACACAUGCAAGUCGAACGCCCCGCAAGGGGAGUGGCAGACGGGUGAGUAACGCGUGGGAAUCUACCCAGAUCUUCGGAACAACUGAGGGAAACUUCAGCUAAUACCGGAUACGCCCUACGGGGGAAAGAUUUAUCGGUUCUGGAUGAGCCCGCGUUGGAUUAGCUAGUUGGUGGGGUAAUGGCCUACCAAGGCGACGAUCCAUAGCUGGUCUGAGAGGAUGAUCAGCCACACUGGGGCUGAGACACGGCCCAGACUCCUACGGGAGGCAGCAGUGGGGAAUAUUGGACAAUGGGCGAAAGCCUGAUCCAGCCAUGCCGCGUGAGUGAUGAAGGCCUUAGGGUUGUAAAGCUCUUUCAGUAGGGAAGAUAAUGACGGUACCUACAGAAGAAGCCCCGGCUAACUUCGUGCCAGCCGCCGCAGUAACAC